GCGGCAGGGGCUUUCGGUGCGCAGGGGCAGGCCGUUGUCGCCGCCCAGCUGCAUGCCGGGGUGGUUCCAACCCAGGCUGCUGCU
rnacentral:tRNA from 1 species